rnacentral:lncRNA from 1 species
AGCCUUUGCUAGUUCCAGUGAACUUCAAACACAUGGAAGAACACAUAUCGGAGAGAAGCUCUAUGGUUGUAAACAAUGUGGAAAAGCCUUUGUUACAUCUGCUCAGCUUCACUUACAUGAAGCAACCCAUAGUGCAGAGAAAUCAGACUCAUGAAAACAACUGGCAAAGUCUUCUGUUAAUAAGGUUUCACUCAUUAACAUGUAGUAAGUUUUCUGAAGAAAAAUUCUUUGAAUGUGGUAAAUCAAUAUUUCUUGUCCAUUUCAAAGAGAAGAAAGUGCUCACAUGUUUGAAUAUCUAUCUAUCUGUCAUCUAUCUAUCUAUCUACCGAUCUAUCUAUCUAUCUGUCUGUCUGUCUGUCUAUCAAUAGUACUGGGGAUUUAGUCUGGUGGUCAUCUAUCACAGAGCCAUGGUGAAGGCGAUCUCCCACUCACUGUCUUGACAGGGUCACAGUGAGGAUGAAUGCUGGCAAAGCCGCACUGGUUGGUGGGAAACAGAAAGCAUGAGACCCUUUUUUGUAUAAUUGGGACUUUUCAUUUUCAUGCUUAUGUUUCUGACAGGAGGCAUGAGUAUGUUAAAUGCUAAACAAAUUAAAUUUCAGAUGGCUAGAACAUAACAGGUAGUUCAUGCCUUGAAGGCUGUUCUACUACCCCUCAGCAUAUCAAGGACAAAGUAGAAGGCUGUUCUUCUAUCUCAGUACACUGAGGACAAAUGUGAUAUUGGACAACAAUCAUCCUCUGAAAAGUCACGAGAAUUUUAGGCACCACAUCGAUUACAUCAACUAGAACCCAAGCUCUUAGAAAACCUAAUUAUUAUGCUUGUUUUUCAAAGCCCACCAUAUGUAGUCUCAUUUUUGAUUGAGGAAAGUUAUAUUAUACACUUAGGAAAGUUAAAACAUAUAAAGGUAUAUUCUCUUUUUAUAAACCCUUUUUUACUUUACAUAGGGAUUUAUGAUGAACAUAGUUAAUAUUGGCGGAAAGUGCACUGAUGUUUAGAACUUACUUUCUAUUGAGAACGAUUAUAAAGAUAUGAGAACUAGUGCACCUUGACUGAGAAACAAAGAAACUCUUUGAGAAAGCAGCUCAACCAGGUUUAUGAGAAUAAAUUUAGGAAGUAAUUAAAGUAGCCUUAUAAGAUAUAUUUUUAGAAUAAUGUUAGAAAUAUUAUCCUAUUUAGACUUUGGGGUUUAGAAAUUCUGAAUUUUUUGUUGUAUGGGUUUCUGAUAUAUUUUAAGAAUGAUUUAUAAACUUUAGGAUAUUUUAAGUAUAAGAUUUAAGGGGACUUUUUUAGAUGAGAAUUUUAGAUUCGAAAUAAAGUAAAGGUGUACUUUAAAUUUAAAGGUUAAUGAUAGGUUCAGAGACUUAGAAUCUGGUUUCGUAGUUUGGCAUUAGUCAAUAAGAAAAUAGUAAAUCUUGGGAAAAUCUGAAAAAUGUAAAUUAGUGAUGCAUUUUAUUAAUGAUUCUGUACUUUUAAUAAUUAAAUAACUAAAGGUCAUAUCCUGGAAAAAUGGAAAUUAAUGUUACAUUUUUUGUAUCCCUAAUCAUGGUUAAGGAAAUGUCAUGUCUUGGCAAAAGUUUUAGAUUGUAUAAUCAAUGGCGUAUCUGAAUCUAUAAUGAUGAGAAAAUUUGCAAUAAAAGAUGACCCGAGAAAGCUGCAUUAGCUCUCUCUCUCUGGAGAUUUCUCCAACGGAACGACUCCUGUCUCAUCUUUUCGCCGACACCACUCAUCCUUCAGGACCCCCUGGACCCCGCGAGGGCAGGACAAGAACAGGAUCAAGUCAUCCUUUUCUCUACAUGCCCUCACUAGUGCAGUUCUUUCAUCCUCACUGUGUCAUGCAACUAUUGAUUUCUUUGACUUUUCUCACAACGAUGCUGCCCACUGCUUUUUCUAAAAAAUUGAUUAUUACUUCAUGACUUCUCAAUUUAUUCUUUUGUUUGUUUCUAAAGUUUGGUUACACAUUGUGUAUGUGGGUUGAGGCCUGUGCACUCCAGCAUUCUGUGCAGAUUGGCUAAAUAUCUCUUUUUUCCUCCUUUGCUCCCUUCUUUCCUUCAGAUUUCACCCAGGAGUGCUCCACCACUGAGCUUCCCCCUAGCCCUUUUAUUGUUAUUUUUUGAGAUGGGGUGACGCUGGCCUCAAACAUGUGGUCACCCUGCCCCAGCCUCCCAGCAGCUAGGACCAUAGAGAUGUGUCCUUUUGUGCUCUGUGACUGGCCUCUUCCUUUUCCUUGGUGCCUUAUUGUCCUGUUGAUGACUCUGGGACCACCACUCUGUCACCCGUGUUUCUUCUAAGUCUCAUGUGUUGUGUUGUAUGUAGGCACAUUAAAG